GAAAUACUCUCUCCGUCCCAAAAUUCCUGUCUUAGAUUUGUCUAAAUACGAAUGUAUCAAGUAACGUUUUAGUAUUAGAUACAUGCGUGUCUAGAUAAAUCUAAAACAAGAAUUUUGAAACGGAGGGGGUAAUAA
rfam:Triticum aestivum genome assembly, contig: Triticum_aestivum_CS42_TGACv1_scaffold_578160_7BL